UACGUAGGGGGCUAGCGUUGCUCGGAAUCACUGGGCGUAAAGGGUGUGUAGGCGGGGCUUUAAGUCAGGGGUGAAAUCCUGGAGCUCAACUCCAGAACUGCCCUUGAUACUGAGGAUCUUGAGUUCGGGAGAGGUGAGUGGAACUGCGAGUGUAGAGGUGAAAUUCGUAGAUAUUCGCAAGAACACCAGUGGCGAAGGCGGCUCACUGGCCCGAUACUGACGCUGAGGCACGAAAGCGUGGGGAGCAAACAGGAUUAGAAACCCUUGUAGUCC
rnacentral:rRNA from 1 species